ACGUCAUCCCCACCUUCCUCUCCAUUAUCUGGAGCAGUCCACGUAGAGUUCCCUCCUUGCGGAGUGGCAACUACGUGCAAGGGUUGCGCUCGUUGCGGGACUUAACCCAACACCUCACGGCACGAGCUGACGACAGCCAUGCAGCGCCUCCACACCUGUCCCUUGCGGGAAGGCCGUGUUUCCACAGCUGGUCAGGUGCGCUUCGAGCCCAGGUAAGGUUCCUCGCGUAGCGUCGAAUUGAACCACAUGUUCCACCGCUUGUGCGGGCCCCCGUCAAUUCCUUUGAGUUUCAGUCUUGCGACCGUACUCCCCAGGUGCAGGACUUAACGCGUUAGCUCCGGGACGACACCCGAACGGGUGGCACCCCAAGUCCUGAUCGUUUAGGGCUAGGACUACCAGG
rnacentral:misc_RNA from 1 species